CAAGAAUCCACUUGGUGGCAGUUCAUUAAUAUUUCAUACUUUCCACUUACAAGGAGAAUUGAUUCAUCCUGAACAGAAUUUAUACAUAACCUGGAUAUCAGGAUAUCUUCUCUGUCUGCAGUGACUUCACAAUGCCUUUUGUCAAUGGCAUUCAGAAUGCCUCAUCUAUCACAAUGGUAACCCACACAUUACCUUGAACGAAGAGACACUUUUAAAGUACAGGAGUGGAUCAGUUAGCUCAAAACUGUAAGAUUACAUCAUAUAUUAUGUACCUCUUCACCCAGAAGCAGCUGGAUUAAUAAAACAUUGGAAGGACCUACUGAAGGCUUACUUCAGCUAAAUCUGCAGCUUGAACAAAUCACUUUGAAAGGAAAUUAUAAGUGACCACAUCUUGAACAUUUAGACUCCAUCAGAGGUCAAAACGAGGCUUGGGACAGAGUUCCAUGACACCUAUUGUUGCAGGAGUCACAGAGGCUUCAGCACUCAGGAUGAAAAUUUCCACUCAAGCAUUGUGAACUGGAGUCCACCUGGUACCACCGUGACCUCUAUCAGAAGUGUCUGAUGCCAAGAGAAUUUGGAAUGAAAUAUAUUCAAGGUUAUGAG
rnacentral:lncRNA from 1 species